AACACUACCAAUAAUCCUUACAAAUGAGAAAGAGAUGCAUAAUUACAAACCUGAAUACUACCAAAUUGAAAAGAAAAUGCCAAAGGAAACGAAAUGAUUAUAAUACCCUUGUAUGCUUCAUGCAAUAAGUGUGCAGACACGUAAAUCGAUGAGACUACAAGUGUUUGCACCUACAAAGAAAAAAAAUAGAAAAUGACUAAAAUGCCCUUAUAUCAAAGCUAGUCUAUACUAUAAACACCUACUUCCAUGAAGUAAAUGAAACAUCACUUCAUUUAUCUAUCUUUGAAUCAAAUUAACUAAGAUAUGACUUCCUUAAACCAAGGUUUUCUCUUUAUUGCUCUCUUUGUUGCAAUUUCAGUUAAUCUCUCUUGGAGUCCUAAAGUGAUGGCUUUAAGAGACUUACCAAUUGAUGUUGCAAAGAUGAAGGAAAAAUUUUUUAUUCCACUUGAUAAUGAAAUGACUUGUUUUCGAAGUUGCACUUCAGAUCCCGAUUGCAGUGAUGGUUGGGUGUGUCUAUGGUGUUCACUGCAUUCUACCAAAUUUGAUCAUGAUGAACAUUGGAUUUGUUCCAUGUGGUGAAGUGCAGGAUUGUUCCGCAUCUUGACAAGUGUACUAUUAUUGGUGCAGGCUAUUUUGGAAUCAUCCUUUGAACAAGUUAAAUAAUGUUUGUGUAACAAAAAUAAAUAUGUCACCUUUUAAGUUUUUCA